rnacentral:rRNA from 1 species
CUACGGGCCGCUGCAGUGGGGGAUAUUGCACAAUGGGCGCAAGCCUGAUGCAGCCAUGCCGCGUGUAUGAAGAAGGCCUUCGGGUUGUAAAGUACUUUCAGCGGGGAGGAAGGGAGUAAAGUUAAUACCUUUGCUCAUUGACGUUACCCGCAGAAGAAGCACCGGCUAACUCCGUGCCAGCAGCCGCGGUAAUACGGAGGGUGCAAGCGUUAAUCGGAAUUACUGGGCGUAAAGCGCACGCAGGCGGUUUGUUAAGUCAGAUGUGAAAUCCCCGGGCUCAACCUGGGAACUGCAUCUGAUACUGGCAAGCUUGAGUCUCGUAGAGGGGGGUAGAAUUCCAGGUGUAGCGGUGAAAUGCGUAGAGAUCUGGAGGAAUACCGGUGGCGAAGGCGGCCCCCUGGACGAAGACUGACGCUCAGGUGCGAAAGCGUGGGGAGCAAACAGGAUUAGAUACCCGCGUAGUC